GACGAACGCUGGCGGCGUGCUUAACACAUGCAAGUCGAACGGAAAGGCCCUGCCUUUGUGGGCUGCUCGGGUGGCGAACGGGUGAGUAACCCGUGAGUAACCUGCCCUUGACUUUGGGAUAUCUUAAGGAAGCUGAGGCUCAUACCACCUAGGAGCUCCUGCUGCAUGGUGGGGCUUCGAAAGUUUCGGCGGUUGGGGAUGGAAUCGCGGCCUAUCAGCUUGUUGGUGGGGUGGUGGCUUACCAAGGCUUUGCCGGCUAGCCAGCCUGGGAGGGUGACCGUGCACAGUGGGACUGAGAUACGGACCCGACCCCUACGGGAGGGAGAAGUGGGGAAUAUGACAAAAGGGGCGGGAGCCUAAGGCAGAAACGCCGCGGGCGGGAGAGCGGUCUUCGGGUUAGAAUCCGAUAGCGCCUUUGACGGGGAUGAUAAUACGGUAAUGGGGAAAAAAGCACCGGCUAACUACGUG
rnacentral:rRNA from 1 species